AGCUAGUUGGUGAGGUAAUGGCCCACCAAGGCGACGAUCGGUAGCCGGACUGAGAGGUUGAACGGCCACAUUGGGACUGAGACACGGCCCAGACUCCUACGGGAGGCAGCAGUGGGGAAUAUUGCACAAUGGGGGAAACCCUGAUGCAGCGACGCCGCGUGGAGGAAGAAGGUCUUCGGAUUGUAAACCCCUGUUGUUGAGGAAGAUAAUGACGGUACUCAACAAGGAAGUGACGGCUAACUACGUGCCAGCAGCCGCGGUAAAACGUAGGUCACAAGCGUUGUCCGGAAUUACUGGGUGUAAAGGGAGCGCAGGCGGGAAGACAAGUUGGAAGUGAAAUCCAUGGGCUUAACCCAUGAACUGCUUUCAAAACUGUUUUUCUUGAGUAGUGCAGAGGUAGGCGGAAUUCCCGGUGUAGCGGUGGAAUGCGUAGAUAUCGGGAGGAACACCAGUGGCGAAGGCGGCCUACUGGGCACCAACUGACGCUGAGGCUCGAAAGUGUGGGUAGCAAACAGGAUUAGAUACCCUGGUAGUCCACACUGUAAACGAUGAUUACUAGGUGUUGGAGGAUUGACCCCUUCAGCGCCGCAGUUAACACAAUAAGUAAUCCACCUGGGGAGUACGACCGCAAGGUUGAAACUCAAAGGAAUUGACGGGGGCCCGCACAAGCAGUGGAGUAUGUGGUUUAAUUCGACGCAACGCGAAGAACCUUACCAAGUCUUGACAUCCUGCGACGCACAUAGAAAUAUGUGUUUCCUUCGGGACGCAGAGACAGGUGGUGCAUGGUUGUCGUCAGCUCGUGUCGUGAGAUGUUGGGUUAAGUCCCGCAACGAGCGCAACCCUUAUGGUCAGUUACUACGCAAGAGGACUCUGGCCAGACUGCCGUUGACAAAACGGAGGAAGGUGGGGAUGACGUCAAAUCAUCAUGCCCUUUAUGACUUGGGCUACACACGUACUACAAUGGCGUUAAACAAAGAGAAGCAAGACCGCGAGGUGGAGCAAAACUCAGAAACAACGUCCCAGUUCGGACUGCAGGCUGCAACUCGCCUGCACGAAGUCGGAAUUGCUAGUAAUCGCAGAUCAGCAUGCUGCGGUGAAUACGUUCCCGGGCCUUGUACACACCGCCCGUCACACCAUGAGAGCCGGGGGGACCCGAAGUCGGUAGUCUAACCGCAAGGAGGACGCCGCCGAAGGUAAAACUGGUGAUUGGGGUGAAGUCGGAACAAGGUAGCCGUAGGAGAACCUGCGGCUG
rnacentral:rRNA from 1 species